rnacentral:rRNA from 1 species
UACGUAGGGGGCAAGCGUUGUCCGGAAUCACUGGGCGUAAAGCGCGCGCAGGCGGCUAUCUACGUCCGGGGUGAAAGCCCAGAGCUCAACUCUGGGACUGCCUUGGAUACGGGAUGGCUUGAGGAUCGGAGAGGCAAGGGGAAUUCCACGUGUAGCGGUGAAAUGCGUAGAGAUGUGGACGGAAGCACCCGUGGCCGAAGGCGGCCCCCCUGGGCCGCGCCUGACGCUGAGACGCGAAAGCGCGGGGAGCCGAACAGG